CAGGGGGGAGAUGGUGAGCCUAGAAUCUACACCAAGUUGAGCUACAACUUGACUAGUUUUUUUCUUUUUUUUCUCUUUUUCUUCUCUUCUUUUUCCUUAAAGCCAUCCAAGACUCACGCUUAACUAUCCGGUGGUUAAAUGAGAAAGAAGAUGGGGACUUCUCUGGAUGAGCGGCAGCUCUAAAAUAGUCUAAAUUAGGCAAGUUGUUUUGCAGGAAAAACCAGAAGUGACUCAGGAAAAAAAAAAAAUCAGAAGGAGCAGGUACUUCCGCCUAAUCAGUACCCCCAACAGCUUUGAAGCAUAGAGAACCUGCUGUCAUUGUGGGUGCAAAUCUCAUGUUCUUGAGGCAGUUGGCAAGAUCUUUUGCUUAAUUCCUGUCAACUCAGGUUGAUUUCCUUUUAGUUAUAGCAUUUUACCCCCUUUAUUUCUUUGGCAGACAAAGCCUGCUUUCUUUUUAAAGAGGCUUUUUCAUUUAGGAAUGGAAAGAGGGCAGUGUAUUUAUAUUGUUAAGGAAAAAAUUGAGGAGGUGUUAUUAUAGAAGAUACAGAACUGUGUGCUGAAGCUUUUUACAGGGAAGAAAUGGAACGUCCACAAUAACGAAGGACCUGGGUGAGGAACUCUGCGAAGAGCUGGGAAACAAGAGGCUACCCCAGCCAACCUUAAACCAGUCAGAAUGAGAGGCCUAGCCUGUGAAUUCUGGUGUAGACGGGCAUAUCAGAGCUUCCCAGAUUCCGUUCAUAGCAGGUCGAUAGGUAAUGCUGGAAAAAAAAAAAAUGAAACCUGCAAAUUCGGACACAUCUGCUUCCUGAAUUAAUGUUCUCCCAAGCUGUGAACAAGCAGUAGAAGGGACUUCUAGUUUCACCCCCUAUCUUGGCUCUUCUGACCUACACCUUUGAGGCAUCUGGCUCAGAACAGAAAGGUUGACAGGCCCACAAAUCCUGGAGAGGAGAAGGAAAAGCAGUGAUAGCUUGUAUCAUAAUAGUAGCUUGAAUGUAUAUAGUGUUUGGCAAUUUAGAAAAUUCUUUGAUGUCUGUAAUUUAAUUUCCUAAAAUCCAGAAUUUGAGCUGCAAAGGAACCUUGGGUGUCAUUUAACCCAAAGUUUCUGAACUGGAUUCCCUGCUGCCGUUGUGGGUGUGAUAAUUCUUGGUUUGGGGUGGGGAGGUCUCCUGCAGACUGCGGCAUGUUUCACAGGGUCUCUGCCCUCUACAUUCCCAACCCCUACAUGUGACAACCACAAAUGUCUCCUGAGAGGCAAGACCGCUCCCUGUUGAGAAUUACUGAUCGAGGCUAUCUUGGAGUUAUAAACAGAUUAUACACUUACACAUGUGUGCAUGCUAAGUUGCUUUAGUUGUGUCUGACUCUUUGCAACCCUAAGGACUAUAGCCCACCAGGCUCCUCUGUCCAUGGAUUCUCCAGGCAAGAAUACUGGAGUGGGUUGCCAUGCCCUCCUCUGGGGGAUCUUCCCAACCCAGGGAUCGAACCCAAGGCUCCUGCAUUGCAGGUGGAUUCUUUACCGCUGAGCCACCAGGGAAGCCCAAACAUUUACACAUGAAACUGUAAGUUUCAUGCACCAAUGAAACAGUAGUAUCUCCACACUCAGCAUGGGCUUGGUGUCUUGACCUGGCUCUUCCUGUCAAGGCUAUCAAAAUUGAGACACGUGCAAGAGAUUUCAAAGGUCCAAAGCAAUGUCUCUUUGAUACAAAACUACUCAAAUUAAUUUGGUUGGAAAUCUAUCAAUUUAAUUUUUCAAAGCAAAGAACUACCACCAUAAAGCCCUAUCACACUGAUUCUGUUGUUAGACUGACUUUGCCAUCCAGCAAACUGGCAGGCCUACGUCACACAAAUAGCACUUUUGCAAUCAGGCUAAGGAUCUGCCAAGCUAUAGAAAUGCCUUAUUAAAUUCAGACCCCUUGGCUUCAUGGACAUGUGAAAACUGCUGACAAGCUGGUUUUUAAGACUUAGACCUUUUUCUGGUGUCACUGCUGGUUUCUAAUUAUGUCAAAGGCUUCACUUAAGACUCAGAAUUUUGUUUUUUGACACACUAUGAACAACCACUGCCCCUGGAACAAGUCAAUUCACUGAUACUAGAAUCAACCUCUGUACCCCUUAGGCAGAAGGCAAUGGUCUGAUAAAGUAGAUGCUCAAACAAUGUUUGUGCAUGCAUUCAUUCAGUCAUUCAUUUAUUCAUUCAUGCGAACACUUGCUGACUAAAAUGACUGAACACUUGCUGACUGCCAGGCUGUGUUGGUGCUUGGUGAUCCAGUCGUGAAUGCUGCACAGUCCUUGGGGUUCCCAGCCUAGCAAGGGUGGACGAAGGAGGGAGAAAAGACGGCAGAGCAAACACCAUGAGCAAAGACAGGCAGCCACAUAAGGUUAUUUAACCCUAGGACUUCCCAGGUGAUGCAGUUGAUAAAGAAUUCGCCUGCCAAUGCAGGAGAUGCAAGAGAUGCUGGUUUGACCUCUGUCUUGGGAAGAUCCCCUGGAGGAGGAAAUGGCAACCCACUCCAGUAGUCUUGCCUGGAAAAUUUCAUGGACAGAAGAGCCUGGUGGGUUACAGACUAUGGGGUUGCAAAGUUGGACAUGACUGAGUGCAGACACACACAGGAACACACAUGUGUUCUUUGAACAAACAUUGAGUGCCAAAGGUAUGAUCAUAGCUUUGUAAAGUUUACAAGCAACAGUGGACUGUGGGUCAAAACAGAACCCAAAGAGCGAUCCAGCUUUAACAGGUGGGUGAGGACUGAAAAUCUGCACAUCUGGCUAAUUAUAUUUAGAGACAGAUGGAAAUUCUGCAAGGGUAAUCCACCUAUAACUAAAACUACAUUAUCAUAUAUUGAUUGCAUUACUGCAAAUGUAAUACCCAAUGAUGUUGUAAUAGAAUGAAUUAAUUAAAAUCAUGAAGAUCAAAAUCAAUUUUAUUGAGCAUCUUUACAAGCCAGACACUUUGCUCAGUGUUAUCAUUUACCGCAGUGGGACGAUUUCAGAGGAGGACUGUAUUCCACAGCAACUCCAGCAUUGCUGGGAAAGUGGUUGGAGAGUGCUAUUUCCCUCAUAUGCUAAGAAGAGAGUGGCAUAAAAGAGAAUAGAUGACUUAAAUGCAACUUAAAUGCAAUAGAUGACAUAAAUUCCCUGGAGGGAAGGAGAUGGACUAGAAAUAAUCUCUUACAAAAUUUCUGUAAUGUAUGGUUUAAAAACUCUCGAGUUGAGCACUUACUGUGUGCCAUGAGACACCUUAAGGAAGUUAUCUGAUUUUUCGAGAUGUCCCUAUGAGAUGAAGUUUAAAUGUGGGCUUUAGAGCAGGGAAUCUGCAAACAGGCAGAGGGCCAGAUUCAACCCUGUGGCUGUUCUUAUAGAGUCUUACUGGACUCAAUUUGUUUACAUGUUGUCUAUAGCUGCUGCUCUGCUAUAACAGUGGAGUUGAAUUGCUGCAGCAGAGACAGUAUGGCCCACAAAACCUAAAAGAUUGACUGUCUGGCCCUUUCUAGCAAAAGGCCUGCUCUCUUUGGUCAGAUUUCCUGCGUUUGAGCCCCAAACUGUGAAGCCGUGUGACAGUGAUGUACUUAUUUAUUUAAAGUCUUUGUUCCUCACCAGCCUCAUCUGCAGAAUGAGACUGGACUGGCGGUGACAACAAUCACUAUCUCAAGGUGUCACUGUGAGGAAUAAAUUAGAUAAUAAUACCAAGUCCUUAGAACAAAACCAAGUAUACAGUAAGAAUUUAAUACAUGUUAGCUAUUAUUGCCUCCUUUUUAAAGAUCAGGAACUUGAGGCUCAGAGUGAUCAAAUAACUUACCCAAGACCGCUCAGAAUUGAAAUUUAGCUGAUGACAAAGCCCAGGGUCCCUUCUGCCAUGGUAACUCUCUUUGCUGUGUUCUUAGUAAUAGCAGAGUUAACUGCAGCCAGUGUUUAUAGGGUAAAACUAUCAGUGAGAGAUGGACUUUGGUUGACAGAGUUGAAGGAAACUCAAGCACAGGUCCACAGUAAAAUUGCUGGAAAACCAUUCCUUUCUAUAAUACCAAGUGCCUCACUGCACCGCCCCACGUCCCCCACCCUUCAGAGAGUGCUGCAAACUGUUCCAUAGCCUAUUUCUGGCCCUUUAUAAAGUAGUUAAUAGGUUCAAAUUUGACUUUUUAGACUUAAAAAAGAAUUAUUAAAUUCUUAACUGGAAAUGUUUAAGGACUAGAAUUCACAUAAUCCAAAUGUUUAAGUGAGGAAUAUGGGACCAUGAUAUAGCAGUGGGAAUGGGGGCUACUCCCCCAGGCCCUGGAAUCAGACCUGGCUUCAUACCCUGGCUCCCCAACUUGAGAAGCAAGUGUUGUCACACCAGCCAUUUAAUCUCCCUAAGCCUCAGUUUCACCAUCUAGAAAAUGGUGAUAAUAUACCUCACGAUGUUGUGAAGAUUAAGUGAGAUAAUGUAUAGAAAAUACUUAGAAAGUACUUGGCUAUAUUAAGUGCUCAAAUUUAUUAUUUUGUAUUUUAUAUACUAUAUGAUUUUUAAAUAAUUAUUAUUUCAGUUGAGCAAAAUAGAUGUUUUUCAAGGGUGUACUCUUGGGGGUACAGCCCCAUGUCUAAGUCACACCUAAGAAUCACAAAUUCUCUGCUUGACAAUGUAAUUUUAAAAGCUAAAGAAUCUGAAGGAAUUUACUCCCAGAUUUUUGUGGACAAACUGAAAGGGAACUUCUGUAGCUAUUAUCUCCUAUAUUGAUAUAGAAAAUGCAUCAUCAUAACCACACAUUUCACAUGCAGUUAUAAUGAUGCCUUCUUCAAAGCUACUGACUAUUUUAUGCCAAAGAGCAAAUCCUAUGUUCUUUUUGAUAUUUGUUCAAUUGUGUAUUACCUUUUUAUGACUAUAUUAUAGUGUAGUAUACCUACACUAAUGCUUUGUGACUACCCAUUGAAUGUAGUUGUAAAUACUGUUUAUUAACUAUGAUAUAUUCAAAUUACCACUGCAAGUUUAAGAAAGUUACCUGGGAGUAAUAUUCACAGAAAAGCUUCAUGUGCCAGCAUUGGAAUAUAUGAACUGGUGGUUUGAUGGAUGGUAAUUUUUAUCAUAAAAAUAUUCUUUAAUUUGCAAAGGGAUUUCUCAUAGAGUUCCUUUAGCUAGAAAGUCCUCUGUGUCAUCUAGAAUAUGAUUCAAGUUAUUGAAAAAUUGAUCUCUCUCUCUAUAUGUAUCUUUUCUGAAUAUACCUUCCCUAUAUCGAUAUAGACCUAUAACACUGUGCCAAAGUAUCAGUCCCAUUUUCUUGAUGGAGAAACUGGAUAAUCAUGUGCUUAAGCUCAAAAUCACAAUUACACAGCGAUAAAAUGGGAAUCACAAUUUAAUAAAGGAGCUUCAUCUUUGGGAGUACAGUCUCUAGUUUAAAUUCUGUUUGAUAAAUGGCCCAUUUAUCUUCAAGACAAAUCUGGAUAGUCCAAAUAUAGAACAUAUAUAUAUACACACACACACAUAUUUUAGAGUAUAUACACAUAUACAUAUUUUAGAAUAUAUAUAUAUUACAUAUAUAUUCUAAAAUUUGUGUAUAAAGAGUAUUUUUCAUUCAUUUAGUUUCUUGAAUUUAUACCAAAAUAGAUUUAGAAAGUGAACUUUCCCAAACAUAAGCAUAUGUAGCUUAAUAAUGGUGUGUAAAUGCUCUUCCUUUCCCCCAGUUUCAAAGUAUAUUAGCAAGUGAUAGUUAUAUAGUAAUAGUAUAGCCAUUAUUAUUGUGCCGUAUUAUACAUGAGUACAUGCUCUAUGGGUUAUGUUCUUUUAUUACCUUCUGGUGGUAUGUCAAAUCAUAGUAUACAAGAAUAUCACAGGUCUCCUUGUAAGAAAAAUGACAAAUUGCCUGUUCUGAAACAAAGACUCUCUAAGAUAGAAUGACACAGACAAACAUUAGUUUCAGUUUUAGGUGUGACCUUCUGAUUUUGUUUGGUUAACAUUAGUCAUCUCAGUUCUGACUAGGGAACAGUAUCUGCCAGCACAGAAAAAAAUCAGAUCCUGUUUAAUGUUGAUGUUCUUGUAUUUGAUUGACAAGUAUCCCAAGGCACUAGUUACAGUGAAAUAGAAGUUGGCCAGAAAUACUCUCAACAUUGAUUAAGCCAUGGGUUACUUUCUUCUACAAAUAUUUAAGUUGAAUGUGGGGUAUUUUUGAAGUUAAAAAUAUUUUCAAAUACCACAGCAAUAUGACUAUAAUAGGCUCUUUGUGAGAAAACAUAUAAAAGGAAGUAAACUUUCUAGUGGGAGGCAGAGACAAUAUGCAUUAAAAUGCAACUUUAACCCCAAAAUUACAUUUUCUUUUUAUCCACUAAACAUUUAAAUGUUAUUCUCCCUUAACUAACUUUCUAGCUUUGUUCUUCCUCUGGUGAUACUUCAUUUAUUAUUAUUGCUAUUAUUAUUAUUUUUGCAUAUAGUGAAAAAUGAAAAUGAUAGUUUAAAGAACACAUGCUUCUAGCAAAAGUAUGCCUAAAGUUAAACCCUAGUACUUAGUAGCUUAAUUCUUGUUAUAAAAACUUGGACUCUAUUAGAAAUGGGGCCAUUUGAGAGAGGGCCCUUUGUAACAGAGAAAGUAAAAUUUCCUUCCUAUGGUGAAGUGAUUGUAGACAGUUUAGCCUAUUUCCACUUUAUGCUUCACUGUUUGAAAUGUAUUAGAAAAAAUAAAGAAACAUAGUUUAUUUCAUUAUCUAUAAUUGAAACUUUUCAAAGGCAGAGUCCUUAAUUGGUAUCCCUAGUGCCUAGCACAAAAUGAAGAAAUGUUUCAGUAAAGGAAAAAAAUUAAUGAAAGAACCAAUGAAUGAGCACCGUCUUUUAUAAGAAAUGUAGUAAGAUAAAGGUAGGAAAAGAAUUGUAAUAUUAUAUAUAACUACCAAUAAAUUGCUUUGGAUAUCCUAUUUAUAUUUAACUUUUGUUUUACCUGCAUUUAGAACUAUGUACAAAUAGCCAUACAGAGUAUUGUGCAGGGAAUAGAUAGGGGAAACUCCCUGGCAGUUGAAUGGCUAGGACUCCACAUUCUCACUAUUGAGGGUCUGGGAUCAAUCUCUGGUUGAGGAAUUAAGAUCCCACAUCC